rnacentral:rRNA from 1 species
UACGUAGGUGGCAAGCGUUGUCCGGAUUUACUGGGCGUAAAGAGCGCGCAGGCGGUCGUGCAAGUCGCGUGUGAAAGCCCCCGGCUCAACUGGGGAGGGUCACGCGAUACUGUUCGACUUGAAGGCAGGAGAGGGAAGUGGAAUUCCCGGUGUAGUGGUGAAAUGCGUAGAUAUCGGGAGGAACACCGGUGGCGAAGGCGGGUCUCUGGGCCGAUAUUGACGCUGAGGAGCGAAAGCGUGGGGAGCGAACAGG